rnacentral:rRNA from 1 species
UACGAGGGGUCCAAGCGUUGCUCGGAAUCAUUGGGCGUAAAGCGGGUGUAGGUGGCUUUGUAAGUCAGGAGUGAAAGCCCUGGGCUCAACCCAGGAAGUGCUUUUGAUACUGCAAAGCUUGAGUGUGGGAGAGGAUCGUGGAAUUCCAGGUGUAGUGGUGAAAUACGUAGAUAUCUGGAGGAACACCGGUGGCGAAGGCGGCGAUCUGGCCCAACACUGACACUCAGACCCCGAAAGUGCGGGGAUC